rnacentral:rRNA from 1 species
UAGGACGGCCAUAGGGGCUUGGUUCUACCCGAUCCCAUUCCGAACUCGGAAGUCAAGCGAGCCUCCGUUCUUGGGUGUACUGCAUUUCUAUGUGGGAAACCAGGAAAGCUGUCCGCC